rnacentral:pre_miRNA from 14 species
UAUUAACCUGAUCAGCCCCGGGGUUGCCUGUCUUAGCACUAACUCCGGGCCUGAAGAGGUUGACAA